UUAUAUUGCACGGGUUUUUUGGAUCACUCGCCGCCCAACCUCAGAUCUGCACAGUCGUGCACUGUUUUUCUAGUCUGUCAACAAUUUUUUUACAGGAAGUACGUGUGAUCUGGGGAUACCAAUGGUACGAGCAGCUUUAUCAACAGCGGUCUCUAUACGUGCACUUGUGAACACUUUCUGAACGUUGUCAAUCUCCAAAUUACACAUUUUGUCAAUGUGGGACUUGAAAACCGUGUACCUCUUUCAACAACAAAGCUUUUCAUCUCCCACAAUGCUGAUAGAAUAUUCUUUGAUAAAGAGUCCAAGGAUG